GCCAGAGUAGCUCAGUUGGCAGAGCAGUUGCCUUGUAAGCAUCAGGUCGUUGGUUCGAAUCCAAUCUCUGGCU
rnacentral:tRNA from 1 species